rnacentral:rRNA from 1 species
CAUGCAAGUCGAGCGGUAACAGAAAGUAGCUUGCUACUUUGCUGACGAGCGGCGGACGGGUGAGUAAUGCUUGGGAACAUGCCUUGAGGUGGGGGACAACAGUUGGAAACGACUGCUAAUACCGCAUAAUGUCUACGGACCAAAGGGGGCUUCGGCUCUCGCCUUUAGAUUGGCCCAAGUGGGAUUAGCUAGUUGGUGAGGUAAUGGCUCACCAAGGCAACGAUCCCUAGCUGGUUUGAGAGGAUGAUCAGCCACACUGGAACUGAGACACGGUCCAGACUCCUACGGGAGGCAGCAGUGGGGAAUAUUGCACAAUGGGCGAAAGCCUGAUGCAGCCAUGCCGCGUGUGUGAAGAAGGCCUUCGGGUUGUAAAGCACUUUCAGUCAGGAGGAAAGGGUGUGAGUUAAUACCUCAUAUCUGUGACGUUACUGACAGAAGAAGCACCGGCUAACUCCGUGCCAGCAGCCGCGGUAAUACGGAGGGUGCGAGCGUUAAUCGGAAUUACUGGGCGUAAAGCGUACGCAGGCGGUUUGUUAAGCGAGAUGUGAAAGCCCCGGGCUCAACCUGGGAACUGCAUUUCGAACUGGCAAACUAGAGUGUGAUAGAGGGUGGUAGAAUUUCAGGUGUAGCGGUGAAAUGCGUAGAGAUCUGAAGGAAUACCGAUGGCGAAGGCAGCCACCUGGGUCAACACUGACGCUCAUGUACGAAAGCGUGGGGAGCAAACGGGAUUAGAUACCCCGGUAGUCCACGCCGUAA